rnacentral:tRNA from 5 species
GGACACUUAGCUCAGUUGGUAGAGCAUCCGCUUGACGUGCGGAAGGUCAGCGGUUCGAGACCGUUAGUGUCCACCA